CGUAGGGUGCAAGCGUUAAUCGGAAUUACUGGGCGUAAAGCGUGCGCAGGCGGUGAUGCAAGACAGAGGUGAAAUCCCCGGGCUCAACCUGGGAACUGCCUUUGUGACUGCAUGACUAGAGUACGGUAGAGGGGGAUGGAAUUCCGCGUGUAGCAGUGAAAUGCGUAGAUAUGCGGAGGAACACCGAUGGCGAAGGCAAUCCCCUGGACCUGUACUGACGCUCAUGCACGAAAGCGUGGGGAGCAAACAGGAUUAGAUACCCUGGUAGUCCACGCCCUAAACGAUGUCAACUGGUUGUUGGGAGGGUUUCUUCUCAGUAACGUAGCUAACGCGUGAAGUUGACCGCCUGGGGAGUACGGCCGCAAGGUUG
rnacentral:rRNA from 1 species